rnacentral:rRNA from 1 species
GCAAGGAAUUUUGGGCAAUGGACGAAAGUCUGACCCAGCGACACCGCGUGAGGGAAUAAGGCCUUCGGGUUGUAAACCUCUUUUCUUGGGGAAGAAUCUCGACGGUACCCAAGGAAUAAGCCUCGGCCAACUACGUGCCAGCAGCCGCGGUAAUACGUAGGAGGCGAACGUUAUUCGGAUUUACUGGGCGUAAAGGGAGCGUAGGCGGUUCCUUAAGUCGGAUGUGAAAUCUUCUGACUCAAUCGGAAGGCGCCAUUUGAUACUGAGGGACUUGAGAGCAGCAGAGGGAAAUGGAAUCUCCAGUGUAGCGGUGAAAUGCGUAGAUAUUGGAGAGAACACCAGUGGCAAAGGCGGUUUCCCAGGCUGCUUCUGACGCUGAGGCUCGAAAGCGUGGGGAGCGAAGCGGAUUAGAAACCCCAGUAGUCC